rnacentral:rRNA from 1 species
GGCGGACGGGUGAGUAAUACUUAGGAAUCUACCUAGUAGUGGGGGAUAGCUCGGGGAAACUCGAAUUAAUACCGCAUACGACCUACGGGAGAAAGGGGGCAACUUGUUGCUCUCGCUAUUAGAUGAACCUAAGUCGGAUUAGCUAGAUGGUGGGGUAAAGGCCUACCAUGGCGACGAUCUGUAGCUGGUCUGAGAGGAUGAUCAGCCACACCGGGACUGAGACACGGCCCGGACUCCUACGGGAGGCAGCAGUGGGGAAUAUUGGACAAUGGGGGAAACCCUGAUCCAGCCAUGCCGCGUGUGUGAAGAAGGCCUUUUGGUUGUAAAGCACUUUAAGCAGUGAAGAAGACUCCGUGGUUAAUACCCACGGACGAUGACAUUAGCUGCAGAAUAAGCACCGGCUAACUCUGUGCCAGCAGCCGCGGUAAUACAGAGGGUGCAAGCGUUAAUCGGAAUUACUGGGCGUAAAGGGAGCGUAGGUGGCUCGAUAAGUCAGAUGUGAAAUCCCCGGGCUUAACCUGGGAACUGCAUCUGAUACUGUUGAGCUAGAGUAUGUGAGAGGAAGGUAGAAUUCCAGGUGUAUCGGUGAAAUGCGUAGAGAUCUGGAGGAAUACCGAUGGCGAAGCAGCCUUCUGGCAUAAUACUGACACUGAAGGCUCGAAGCGUGGUAGCAGACAGGAUUAGAUACCCUGGUAGUCCACGCCGUACACGAUGUCUACUAGUCGCUGGGUCCAUGAGGACUUAGUGACGCAGCUAACGCAAUAAGUACACCGCCUGGCGAGUACGGUCGCAAAGUUAAACUCAAUGAGUUGACGGAGCCCGCUACAG